ACGAAACAGAAAGUACGCAGAUUAUGGAUACACUUAAGAAAUAUAUAUUUGGUACCAUGAACUUUCGACCAUGUAGCUACUCACGUAAUGUAGACAUCAAAUGUUUGUGUAUAAAUUAUAUUUUACAAAGUAAACAUGGUCAAGCUAUCAUUAUAUUUGCAAUAUUUCAUAGCGUGGCUAGAAGACUUGGUCUACGUUGCGAUAUAAUACUUAUUUGGCCUCGCUAUUGUAUAUUUUGGAGACCGAAAUUCGUCACAAGUAGUUUAAAAAAUGCACAAUGCUUUCACAUAAAAAACGAGAAUUUCCCGAAUUGUCUUUUUUAUCAUAUAUCAGUGUACAGGAUGCAAACAAAUUGCUUUCGCGACCUCGCAAUAACAACUAAAAAGGUUGAAAAUUAUUUAUUUAUUAU